GACGAACGCUGGCGGCGUGCCUAAUACAUGCAAGUCGAGCGCAGGAAACUGACGGAACUCUUCGGAGGGAAGGCAGUGGAAUGAGCGGCGGACGGGUGAGUAACACGUAAGGAACCUGCCUCAAGGAUUGGGAUAACUCCGAGAAAUCGGAGCUAAUACCGGAUAGUUCAACGGACCGCAUGGUCCGCUGAUGAAAGGCGCUUCGGCGUCACCUUGAGAUGGCCUUGCGGUGCAUUAGCUAGUUGGUGGGGUAACGGCCCACCAAGGCGACGAUGCAUAGCCGACCUGAGAGGGUGAUCGGCCACACUGGGACUGAGACACGGCCCAGACUCCUACGGGAGGCAGCAGUAGGGAAUCUUCCACAAUGGACGAAAGUCUGAUGGAGCAACGCCGCGUGAGUGAUGAAGGUUUUCGGAUCGUAAAACUCUGUUGUAAGGGAAGAACACGUACGAGAGGAAAUGCUCGUACCUUGACGGUACCUUACGAGAAAGCCACGGCUAACUACGUGCCAGCCGCCGCAGUAAAAC
rnacentral:rRNA from 1 species